rnacentral:rRNA from 1 species
AGUCAUUGGGAAUAAAAUAUUUUUUCAUCGAAAUAUUAAUAAAUUUUAUGAAACCCAAAGGCGAAAUAAAAGUAAAAUAAAUUUUUUAUUUAUUUUUUAUAAAUAAAUAUAUUAAAAUUUUGAGGGAGGAUAUAUUUUUAUUACGUAUUAAAUAUCGCACUCCCAGGGCAUCUUAUACUAUUCUUAUAAUUAUUUUAUAAUUUUUAUUAUGAAUAAAGGUGCACCUAGAGCGUACACGCUGGGACCCGAAAGAUGGUGAACUAUGCCUGGUCAGGACGAAGUCAGGGGAAACCCUGAUGGAGGUCCGUAGCGAUUCUGACGUGCAAAUC